AUUGAACGCUGGCGGCAGGCCUAACACAUGCAAGUCGAACGAGUGGCGGAGGGGUGAGUAAUGUCUGGGAAACUGUCCGUGGGAUGGGGAUAACAACUGGAAACGGUAGCUAAUACCGCAUACCAUCGGAUGUGCCCAGAUGUGAGUAGCUUGUAGGUGAGGUAACGGCUCACCUAGGCGACGAUGCCUAGCUGGUCUGAGAGGAGGACCAGCCACACUGGAACUGAGACACGGUCCAGACUCCUACGGGAGGCAGCAGUGGGGAAUAUUGCGCAAUGGGCGCAAGCCUGAUGCAGCAAUGCCGCGUGUAUGAAGAAGGCCUUCGGGUUGUAAAGUACUUUCAGCGGGGAGGCGUUACCCGCAGAAGAAGCACCGGCUAACUCCGUGCCAGCAGCCGCGGUAAUAC
rnacentral:rRNA from 1 species